UUAUUUUGAGAGUUUGAUCCUGGCUCAGAAUCAACGCUGGCGGCGUGCCUAACACAUGCAAGUCGAGCGAGAAAAGGGGAGCAAUCCCCUGAGUACAGCGGCGCACGGGUGAGUAACACGUGGGUAAUCUGCCCUGGAGUGGGGAAUAACACCGGGAAACCGGUGCUAAUACCGCAUACGAUCGCGAUGUCUGCGGACGUUGUGAUGAAAGGAGCAAUUCGCUCUAGGAGGAGCCCGCGGCUGAUUAGCUAGUUGGUGAGGUAAUGGCUCACCAAGGCAACGAUCAGUAUCCGGUCUGAGAGGACGGUCGGACACACUGGAACUGAGACACGGUCCAGACUCCUACGGGAGGCAGCAGUGGGGAAUUUUUGGCAAUGGGGGAAACCCUGACCAAGCAACGCCGCGUGGGUGAUGAAGUCCCUUGGGACGUAAAACCCUUUCGACGGGGAAGAAGCCGCAAGGUUGACGGUACCCGUAGAAGAAGCCCCGGCUAACUCCGUGCCAGCAGCCGCGGUAAUACGGGGGGGGCGAGCGUUGUUCGGAAUUACUGGGCGUAAAGGGUGCGUAGGCGGUUCGCUAAGUCGGAUGUGAAAACUCUGGGCUCAACCCAGAGCCUGCAUCCGAAACUGGCGGACUAGAGUUCUGGAGGGGGUAGCGGAAUUCCUGGUGUAGCGG
rnacentral:rRNA from 1 species